rnacentral:misc_RNA from 2 species
GUUACGAAAGUAGAAAAAAUUAGUUAGAUAGCAUAAGGUUAAAUCCUAAGUGCCUUGAAAAUGGAUAAUCAGCAGGUAAGCUUCGAAAAGAAGAAACUUCAACGACUA